AAUGCGGGCUGCAUGGGACAGAGACGUCCCUUUCUUCGGACCGCCCGCAAGGUGCUGCAUGGUUGUCGUCAGCUCGUGCCGUGAGGUGUCAGGUUAAGUCCUAUAACGAGCGCAACCCCUACCGUUAGUUGCCAGCAUGUAAAGAUGGGGACUCUAACGGGACUGCCGGUGCAAACCGUGAGGAAGGUGGGGACGACGUCAAAUCAUCACGGCCCUUACGUCCUGGGCCACACACGUGCUACAAUGGCCGGUACAGAGGGAAGCCACCCCGCAAGGGGGCGCGGAUCUACAAAGCCGGUCACAGUUCGGAUCGGGGUCUGCAACUCGACCCCGUGAAGCUGGAAUCGCUAGUAAUCGGAUAUCAGCCAUGAUCCGGUGAAUACGUUCCCGGGCCUUGUACACACCGCCCGUCAAGCCAUGGAAGCCGGGA
rnacentral:rRNA from 1 species